UAGGGAAUCUUCGGCAAUGGACGAAAGUCUGACCGAGCAACGCCGCGUGAGUGAAGAAGGUUUUCGGAUCGUAAAACUCUGUUGUUAGAGAAGAACAAGGACGUUAGUAACUGAACGUCCCCUGACGGUAUCUAACCAGAAAGCCACGGCUAACUACGUGCCAGCAGCCGCGGUAAUACGUAGGUGGCAAGCGUUGUCCGGAUUUAUUGGGCGUAAAGCGAGCGCAGGCGGUUUCUUAAGUCUGAUGUGAAAGCCCCCGGCUCAACCGGGGAGGGUCAUUGGAAACUGGGAGACUUGAGUGCAGAAGAGGAGAGUGGAAUUCCAUGUGUAGCGGUGAAAUGCGUAGAAAUAUGGAGGAACACCAGUGGCGAAGGCGGCUAUCUGAUCUGUAACUGACGCUGAGGCUCGAAAGCGUGGGGAGCAAACAGG
rnacentral:rRNA from 1 species